rnacentral:rRNA from 1 species
AGCGAACGCUGGCGGCAGGCCUAACGCAUGCAAGUCGAACGAAGUCUUCGGACUUAGUGGCGGACGGGUGAGUAACACGUGGGAACGUGCCUUUAGGUUCGGAAUAACUCAGGGAAACUUGUGCUAAUACCGAAUGUGCCCUUCGGGGGAAAGAUUUAUCGCCUUUAGAGCGGCCCGCGUCUGAUUAGCUAGUUGGUGGGGUAAUGGCCCACCAAGGCUACGAUCAGUAGCUGGUCUGAGAGGAUGACCAGCCACAUUGGGACUGAGACACGGCCCAAACUCCUACGGGAGGCAGCAGUGGGGAAUCUUGCGCAAUGGGCGAAAGCUUGACGCAGCCAUGCCGCGUGGAUGAUGAAGGUCUUAGGAUUGUAAAAUCCUUUCACCGGUGAAGAUAAUGACUGUAGCCGGAGAAGAAGCCCCGGCUAACUUCGUGCCAGCAGCCGCGGUAACAC